AGUUGGCGUUUGACUUUGUUGGAAAACUUGUAUUGUUUACAAAUAAGCUUGAAAAGAAAUCGCAUACAAUACAAUAACAUUUUUGCAUGUUACACCUAUAUCGAACUGCAUACUUUAUUAUUGGUUUUGGUAGAAGUUUCUAAACAUUCAGAACCUCGAACAAUUCAGGUUUUCAAGCUCUUAUGUUCAACUCUAAAUUGUGAAUUUGGAAAACAGAAUAAGGAUUUCUGGAUUUUAAUAACAAACUCAACUUACUAGUUUAGAAAUGACAGUCAACAAACAAACUAUCGAUAAUGAAAAUGUCAACGGCUUCAACAUUACACUAAAAGUGGAAAAACGUAAUAUUAAUCCCACGUCUCAACGCUAUGUAAUAUCAUACAAAAAUAAGGAACAAAAGUCAUCAUUAUGGUCAAAGAAGUCCCUUAUAUGUGCAAUAAUCUUCAAUAUUUUAGCCAUGAGCUAUAUUCGUAUAAGUUUUACAGCAACUUCAAUUAUUAUUAUUGUGAUGUCAUUCCUUAUAUUUUUCUGGGUUACACACACUGUACAGACAGAAACACUUUUAGUUAUUCCAACUGUGGGUAUACAGACAUCAGUGAAGUAUGUUAUAGGUAGAGAAGAUAAUUAUGUUUCUUGGAAUAACAUUGAUGAUGUCAUUAUUAAUGAAGUAAUUAAAUUUAAUAGAGUACUAUACUUUCUCACAAUUUUAGUAAAGAGUACUAACCAGGCGGAUCAAAUUAAAUUAAUACCACUAUUUAAGUACACAAAACCUAGGCUUAUGAUGCUGGAAGUGAUUUAUUCUGAAAUACAAUCAUUAUUAAUAGACUCAAGGAAAGAAACCAAUGGGGAUGGGCAAGGUUCUGGGGAUAAAUAGAGAAAAGUAAAAUAAUUGAACUUCGUAAAAUAGAGUGUGGAAUGUGUAUGUAUUAAAAUGUUGUGAAAUAGCUUAGAUUAAUUAAGUAGAGAUGUAUAAGUAAGGUUAGUAUGAAUGUGAUUUACCUUUAAAAAAUUGUUUAGUUACUGAUUAUAUAUGCAAUAUUUCUCUUACAUCGAUAGAAAAAAUAUUAAUAAAGGGAUGUUCUAAGUUUUGUUUAUUCAUUUGUAAUGAAGAAACCAAAAACUAGUUGACUGAUAAGUUUUCGAUUCACAAUUACAAAUUGUAUUUGUUAUGAAGGUAAAGUUAAAUAUAUAUUAGAUAUUAUUUUACAAAUUGUUACUCCUGUUAUAGCAAAUAUUUUGAACAAAUAAUAGGUUUAAAUAAUUAUAAAAUUAAGUCACUAAAUUUAUA